UGAACGCUGGCGGCGUGCCUAAUACAUGCAAGUCGAGCGAACAGACGAGGAGCUUGCUCCUCUGACGUUAGCGGCGGACGGGUGAGUAACACGUGGAUAACCUACCUAUAAGACUGGGAUAACUUCGGGAAACCGGAGUUAAUACCGGAUAAUAUAUUGAACCGCAUGGUUCAAUAGUGAAAGACGGUUUUGCUGUCACUUAUAGAUGGAUCCGCGCCGCAUUAGCUAGUUGGUAAGGUAACGGCUUACCAAGGCAACGAUGCGUAGCCGACCUGAGAGGGUGAUCGGCCACACUGGAACUGAGACACGGUCCAGACUCCUACGGGAGGCAGCAGUAGGGAAUCUUCCGCAAUGGGCGAAAGCCUGACGGAGCAACGCCGCGUGAGUGAUGAAGGUCUUCGGAUCGUAAAACUCUGUUAUUAGGGAAGAACAAAUGUGUAAGUAACUAUGCACGUCUUGACGGUACCUAAUCAGAAAGCCACGGCUAACUACGUG
rnacentral:rRNA from 1 species